UUUUUAUCUUUAACUUUAGAACUAAGCAUGCACAGAUGUUCAAUUAAUUUUUACUUCAUGGUCAAACAGGUACUCUUAAAGAUAAUUCCGUAAGUUACUAUAAUCAGUUUCUUUAAAGCAAGCCAUUAUUCAUUCUUCAGAAGUAGCCAUUAGUUGACAGUG